AAUUAACAGGAGAAAAAGCAAACAAAUUUAUUUGAUCAUAAUUGUAUGUGAGCCCUCAGAAUGAAGACCCCAAGAUACAGGGGAAUUGUCCAUUUUUAUGUUUAGGUUCAACAGAUUAUGGACUGUGUAGAAAUAUGAUUGGACAAGAAGGGUAUGAUCUAAUAGUAAUAGACUGAGAGGGGAAACCCAGCAAGGCUGUCUAGAUUCUUCUUGGCCUCUCUGUGCAGGAUUCCUUCCUUCUGGGCACGGGGUGGGACCCUCUCUGGAAUGGGUAUCUUACGACAGUCAAACACGGUAGGUCAGAUCAUUUCUUUCCAACCAGUUUUUACACAGAAAGGGGAAUGGGGAGUGAGAGGACUAUUUUUAGGUUUUAUGGCUGGCUUUGGGUAAAACCGGUUCUGGUUUCUGAUGACCUGCCUUGGGGAAGAGGGAUUCUAGUUUCUAUGGGUAGCCUUGGGGGAGAAUGAAAAGCCAGAAACAAGAGGGCAGGAGAAGGUCAGAGAGAAACUUUUGCUUCUGGGGCUGCUUCUGAGGCCUUCCUUUUAAAGUUAUCAGAGAUGAUCAGGGGCAUCCUGGCUCCAGGUAAGGUCUCCUGACGUGAGUGUGCUGGUCUUCCACACUGGAUGCCGAGCCUUUUAAAGGGUGGUUUUCAACCUUGGCUGCCAAAAGAAUUUACCAUUUGUUUCAGCCAAUGCCUGAUCAUAGGUUUCUAAUCUCCCUCGUUUUUCUUGAGAUGGAGUCACACUCUGUCACCCAGGCUGAAGUGCAGUGGCGUGAUCCCGGCUCACUGCACCCUCCGCCUCCUGGGUUCAAGCGAUUCUCCUGCCUCAGCCACCCGAGUAGCUGGGAUUACAGGUGCGCGCCACCACAACAGGCUAACUUUUGUAUUUUUAGUAGAGACAGGGUUUCACCAUGUUGGCCAGGCUGCUCUUGAACUCCUGACCUCAGGUGAUGCACCCACCUUGGCCACCCAAAGUGCUGGGAUUAUAGGCAUGAGCCAUGGCACCCAGUCCCUCCCUCUUCUUAGAGGACAUACUUUAUAAAAUUUACAAUUGUAAAUCCUUUCUGUCCCUUUGGGGGAUAUAUGUAUCUUCUGCUGCACAGGAAUGUGUUUCUCACUUUUUCUGGGAGCCAUCCCUUUGUCAUAUAAUUAUCAGGAAUGAUAAGGCCGACUCCUGGUCUCUGUGGGAGGCUAGGAUCCUAACUUUGAUAAAUAAAUUUGAGAGUUAGUAGACACAGAUAGCCGAAUCACAUUGACCAAUCUCCUUACCAGCUUUUUGUAAUUUUGCACUUCCCUAGUUCUAUUUGAACCUCCUCCCUCCCCUCUUUAAAAUUCCAUCACCUCUGCACAGAUUGGAGCUAAGCUCAGUUCUAUACUGAGGACUCUCUCCUUCUGCAGUAGUUAUUGAGUAAAAUCUGUCAUUAUUGCCUUUAGCGUCCAGCUUUUUAAGUCUCCAUUUUAAUAAGGUCCUUAUGUGAUGUGCAUGUACAUUACAGUCUGAGAAGCAGUGUCAUAAUAUUUAUCAUUCCCUCAGUGACUUAUCAUAAACAGCCCUGAAUGGGAAGGAAUCACGCCCAUUUUGCCAGUGAGGACCCAGGGGAAAAAAGUUGGUGAGAGCUCACAAAAAACCAAACAUGUUUCUCUUGAUGCAUCUCCAUUGGUGCAAUGUCCUCUCAGGUUUUUUUUUUUGAUAUGGAGUUUCGCUCUUGUUGCCCAAGCUGGAGUGCAGUGGCACGAUCUCGGCUCACUGCAACCUCUGCCUCCUGGGUUCAAGCGAUUCUCCUGCCUCAGCCUCCCAAGUAGCUGGGAUUACAGGCAUGUACCACCCCGUCUGUCUAAUAUUUUGUAUUUUUAGUAGAGAUGGGGUUUCACCAUGCUGGCCAGGCUGGUCUCGAACUCCUGACCUCAAGUGAUCCUUCUACCUCGACUUCCCAAAGUGCUAGGAUUACAGGCGUGAGCCACCACACCUGACCUCAGGUUCUUCUUUAGUUGCAAGAGAACUGUUUCACCAUCAAGUGUCUUAGGUAUUAAAGUUCUAAGUUUAGGUACUGAGUUAUCCUAUCAGUAGCUGGAGUCCCAAGGAUGACAGGUACCAACCCUGUGCAAGUACCAAAGGCUAUGGCCUCAAAUGCUGCAGAAGCCCAGCCCUUUAAGGGCCCAUGCAUACCCCAUGCAACCACUGCUACAUGAAGUCAGGUGCAGGCAUGGUCUUAGUGGGUCUUAGUCCCGAACCACUCAACCCUAACUCACUCUGCAUACUCAAUCCCGAUGCUCUCCUACUUUCCCAGCUUUACCUCCAACAUCAGUAUCCAUUCUUGCUUUCCUGGGUAAACACUGAUUCCUUUCUCCUCCUGGCUGGGCCAGUCCCCUGGGUAAACACUAUUUCCUAUUUCCACCCCCACCUUUCUACUCCUGGGCCAGUUUGAUGCCUUGAGUAGACUCCCUGUGGCCGAGCUCCCUGGUAGGUCUUGAUGAUGUCACUCAAACUUACACGACAAAAUUCAAACAAAAAAGAUAAAGUUAUAUUUCAUCAUCUCUAUGUCCUUUCUUCUGAUUUGCCAAAUUAGGCUAAAAGACCAAUAGAAAAACAGCUACCAAUUUUAAACACCAAAGUCAUUCCUCUAGGAAAGACAGCAAAAUUACUAACGUGAAUGACAGGAUGAAUUUUUCCUGGUCAUUUUCAAACCACUUAGAUAGCUAGAACCAGAGGAAUCCCCCGAGGCACUUUACCCCUCAGCCAUGGAGAAUGCUGACUUUUUUUACUUUCAGCCAAUUAUAUGGUAAAUAUAAUUAUUAGUUUUAUCAGAAAAUCUUAUACAUACAGGUGAUUUCUGAUGCAUAAUUUUAUUAAAGCCAGAGAUGGACAUUUUUUCUAGAGAAACAGAUCUCUGAGGUUAGAAUGGAAGAUAAUGAAACAAGAGAUUUCACUUUAUAAUUUACCUUUGUCAAACUAUCCCAGAGCAUGUCAAUUCUAUUAUGAAA
rnacentral:lncRNA from 10 species